rfam:Trachymyrmex cornetzi contig27692, whole genome shotgun sequence.
AUCGCUUCUCGGCUCUUUGAGCUAAGAUCAAAUGUGUAGUAUCUGUUCUUAUCAGCUUAAUAUCUGAUACAAUCCCCAUAGGGGAUUCAGAAUAUUAACCUCAUUUUUGGAACAGGGUGGGCGUAUGGGGCUUGCUCCAUCCCCACUGCAGGUCGACCCGGUCUUGCAGUACUUCGGGUCCGGCCUAUAAUAA